rnacentral:rRNA from 1 species
UGAGGAAUAUUGGUCAAUGGGCGGGAGCCUGAACCAGCCAAGCCGCGUGAGGGAAGAAGGCCCUAUGGGUCGUAAACCUCUUUUGUCAGGGAACAAAAGCGAGUAUGUAUACUAGUCUGAGUGUACCUGAAGAAAAAGCAUCGGUUAACUCCGUGCCAGCAGCCGCGGUAAUACGGAGGAUGCGAGCGUUAUCCGGAUUUAUUGGGUUUAAAGGGUGCGUAGGCGGCGAUGCAAGUCAGCGGUAAAAGCCCGGGGCUCAACCCCGGCGAGCCGUUGAAACUGCAGUGCUAGAGAAGGCGAGAGGUACGCGGAAUGCGCAGUGUAGCGGUGAAAUGCUUAGAUAUUGCGCAGAACUCCGAUUGCGAAGGCAGCGUACUGGCGCCUGACUGACGCUGAGGCACGAAAGCGUGGGGAUCGAACAGGAUUAGAUACCC